rnacentral:rRNA from 1 species
UACGGAGGGUGCAAGCGUUGUUCGGAAUUAUUGGGCGUAAAGGGCAGGUAGGUUGUCCUGUAAGUCUGCUGUGAAAUCCCUGAGCUUAACCCUGGAAAGGCGGCGGAAACUGAAGCGCUAGAGUGCGGUAGGGGUAGAGGGAAUUCCCGGUGUAGCGGUGAAAUGCGUAGAGAUCGGGAAGAACAUCGGUGGCGAAAGCGCUCUACUGGACCGCAACUGACACUCAGGGACGAAAGCUAGGGGAGCGAAUGGG